GUGGUUUCCCCUCAUUCUGCCUGGAUGGAGGACCGGAGGCAAGAGGUUGAACAGCCAUUUUGCAGUCAUGGCUAACCAUGAAGACAAAAGCCACCUGCUAAGGAUGAGAGAGCAGAAAGAUAGAAGCUGCCUGGGAAACUGGGAACAUUGCAAAGCCAUUGUGCCAGUCCUGGAUUGUCUACCUGUGCACUUCAUGUGAAAUAAGAAAAACGAGGCCAGGUAACUGGGAAACCAGAUCCAUUGUCAGAAGCUUGCUGAAUGAGCCCAGAACCGGAAUGAAAACACUCCUGCUUGGAUGCAUGCGCUUUCUCAGAAGUGGUAGUGCAGAUGAAUCUCCUGCCGCCUCUCUCCAUCUGGACUGUACAAUGUGGCAGCAAGGUACCUGCCCAGGACAGUGGAGAUGUGGACACCUGGGUGCUGGUAGAGCAGUGGAA